AAACCUCCACAAUGCGCGAAAGCGUGAUGGGGUUACCCCGAGUGCCGUCCGAUGAGGAGGGCUUUUACUCGGUGUACAAAGCCGGGGGAAUAAAGGGGGGGUAAGACUGGUGUCAGCCGCCGCGGUAAUACCAGCCCCCUGAGUGAUAGGGACGAUUAUUUAGCCUAAAGCGUUCGUAGCCGGCUCAGCAAGUCUUUCGUUAAAUCUGACGACUUAAUCGUUAGGCUGCGGGAGAUACUACUGGGCUUGAGGGAGGGAGAGGUUGACGGUAUUUCCAGGGUAGGGGUGAAAUCCUAUAAUCCUGGGAGGACCACCAGUGGCGAAGGCGGUCAACUAGAACACGCCUGACGGUGAGGGACGAAAGCUGGGGUAGCGAACCGGAUUAGACACCCGGGUAGUCCCAGCUGUAAACGAUGCGGGCUAGGUGUUGGAGCAGCUACGAGCUGCUUCAGUGCCGCAGAGAAGUCGUUAAGCCCGCCGCUUGGGAAGUACGAUCGCAAGAUUGAAACUUAAAGGAAUUGGCGGGGGAGCACCACAAGGGGUGAAGCCUGCGGUUCAAUU
rnacentral:rRNA from 1 species